UUUGUGAACCUCCGGAAGGAUCAUUAAUGUU
rnacentral:rRNA from 1 species